rnacentral:rRNA from 1 species
GGGUUGUGAGGUUAAGCGACUAAGCGUACACGGUGGAUGCCCUGGCAGUCAGAGGCGAUGAAGGACGUGCUAAUCUGCGAUAAGCGCCGGUAAGGUGAUAUGAACCGUUAUAACCGGCGAUUUCCGAAUGGGGAAACCCAGUGUGAUUCGUCACACUAUCAUUAACUGAAUCCAUAGGUUAAUGAGGCGAACCGGGGGAACUGAAACAUCUAAGUACCCCGAGGAAAAGAAAUCAACCGAGAUUCCCCCAGUAGCGGCGAGCGAACGGGGAGGAGCCCAGAGCCUGAAUCAGCAUGUGUGUUAGUGGAAGCGUCUGGAAAGGCGCGCGAUACAGGGUGACAGCCCCGUACACAAAAGCGCAUGUGCUGUGAGCUCGAUGAGUAGGGCGGGACACGUGGUAUCCUGUCUGAAUAUGGGGGGACCAUCCUCCAAGGCUAAAUACUCCUGACUGACCGAUAGUGAACCAGUACCGUGAGGGAAAGGCGAAAAGAACCCCGGCGAGGGGAGUGAAAAAGAACCUGAAACCGUGUACGUACAAGCAGUGGGAGCA